GUCACGUGGUUGGAGCCCAGUGGAGCAGCUUCCGGUUGGUCCGCCCUUUAUCGGCACCCGCCGGCAGCUUCCGGUAUCUGCCUGACCUCUCUCAGGUGCUGUGCAAGAGACCAGUCUCAAUCCCCCCUUUCCCUGUGUGUACAGGGGAUACAUGCCCUGGUGGUGACUCACUGGACUCCGUGGUGUGGUCCUUCCCUGGGCUGGACUCGCUGUUGCUUCCCACCCCCCGCAGCAGGGUGCUGGAGUACCAGAUAAACUUUCCCUGGUGUGCCUCCGGCUGCCUUGUGCCAUCGGCCUGGGGGGUUUCCGGGCGUCCAGCUGUGAUAAGCACAGCCAAGCAAGCACACGGGGGCAGCAGCAACGUCGGCUGCUCCAUCCAUCGAGAAACAGUCUAAUGCGUGCCAGGGUCCGUGGCUCACGUGAAAGCUCCCCUGGACGCGCUGAAGAUAAGCAGCUGCUGCUUCAAGAACCGCAAUUGCUAAAACCAUCAAUAUACAGAUGAAUGGAAGCAGUAAUAGUGGCAUUCCUAGCUUCUAUGUCAAAAUAUACCAGCAGUGGUGAAGGAGAAGGGCAUUGCAGGCAGCUCUGAAGUAACCACCUGGACCCAGGCAUGAAAGCAGUGAAGUGUGGAAGGAUGCUGAGGGAAGAAUAUUGUGAAAA